GGAAAUUGAUUCGAAGGUUGCAUAUUGGUGUUUUCUUGUGUUUUAUUUUUUCGAUAUUUAUAUUGCUUACAUAAAUUGUUGCUUUUGUGGUAUUGCAUUUUGUAUUGGUGUGUUGGUGUAUGGUAUCGGACCAGGUUGUAUUGUGUGGACUAAAAUGGAGGAGUCGGUAGGUAGUGCUAUGAUUAAACUCACAGGUCAAAAUUGGGUGACUUGGAAGCCUAGAAUGGAGGGAAUCCUUUAUUGUAAGGAUUUACAUGAACCUAUUGAAGGUCACGUAGCUAAACCAGAGGAAAUGACUGAAAAGCAAUGGUAUAUUCAGAAUAGAAAGGCCAUAGGAACAAUCAUACAGUGGGUGGAUGACAGUGUGUUUCGUCAUGUGGCGCGAGAGACAAAUGCUCAUAAACUAUGGACAAAAUUGGAGUUAAUGUUUGAGAAGAAAGCCAUAACUAACAAGUUUUUUCUGAUCAAAGACUUAGUCAAGUUGAAAUACAAGGAAGACAUGAGCAUGACAGAGCAUUUGGCUAAUUUCCAGAAUAUCAUAAACCAGCUAGCAACUAUGAGUAUGGUACUUGAAAAUGAAUUGCAAGCUUUGUUGCUUUUGAGCUCGUUGCCAGAUGGCUGGGAGACCUUCGUCAUGAUUGUCAGUGAUUUUGCUGCUAAUGGUGUUUUAUCUGUGGAUUUUGUGAAAGAUGGCAUGCAGAACAAAGAAACAAGAAAAAAAAUUUCUGGGGUUUGCACGGGUAUUGAUAAAGCACAAGCUUUUGUUACUAUAAUUAGUUUAGAGUUAUGUCACAGUCAAUUAAGGAGGGCCAUAUCAAAAUAAAAUGCCUUAUUUUUCUGACAGAGCAAAUGGAAAGUGACAAUCAGAAAAUGGAAGAUGAUAAGAACAACAUGGUGAUUGUCCAUUUUCGUGCUGUGGAGAGACCCAAAGAAGAUGAAUUCUGCUUAGAGCUGUGAGUGUUUUUCUUGAUCUUAUUUUUCUGGACUGUUGAAGACUGUACUUUACUGAUUGUAUGCUUGUUCCCUUUAUCAUAAUUUUCUGAGCAAGUUUAGGUUGAUUUAUCUAACCAAUUUGGGCAAAAUUUCCAGAGCAGAGAACCACACAUAUUUUGAUGUCGUGGAAAGGGUAGCUCAACACCUUGGGUUGGAUGAUAUAACUAAAAUUCAGCUUACUCCUCAAGAUUACUAUUCUUAGAAACCAAAGCCCAAUCCUAUUAAAUAUAGAUCAGUUGAUCGCCUACUAGACAUGCUUGUCAACUACAAUCAGGUAGCUCCAACACACCGUCUUUUACUCUGUUUUAUUGUAGCGGCACAGUAUUCAGAUGUUGAUGGAUCAAUAAUUGUUUGCUUUCUUUCUAAUAGAGCUCUAAUAUUCUGUAUUAUGAAGUAAUGGACAAUCCUUUACCAGCAUUGCAAUGUCUGAAGACUCUAAGAGUUUCUUUUCGUCAUGCCACAAAGGAUGAGGUGGGAAAACUAUGGAUGUCGUCAUUGUACUGUUCUUCUUCUUCUUUUUUUUUUUUUAAUAUCAUGUGACCUAUAAAAACUUCUCAUUUCAGGCCGUAGUACUGAAUAUUAGAUUGCCGAAACAAAGCACCGUGGGAGAUAUUUUUAAUGAGAUCAAAACAAAGGUUUGCAUGAGCAAGUCACAUGGAAAUGUUUUCCGAAAAUUCGAACUUCUAUCAUCUUUCAUUGUUCUUAAGACUAUUUGCAGCAGUUAAUAUAGAAAUUGUGUUUUCAUCAUUAUUUCAUGGGGCAAAAUAUAAGAUAUACUGACUAGCGCAGGAUUGACAAUUUCUCAUGUCUUCUGCAGGUAAAGUUGUCUCAACCAAAUGCAG
rnacentral:lncRNA from 1 species